rnacentral:rRNA from 1 species
CAGGCCUAACACAUGCAAGUCGAACGAAGCUCGAUGCUUUGAGGUUUCGGCCAAGAAGCAAAGAUGACUUAGUGGCGAACGGGUGAGUAAUGCGUGAGCAACCUGCCUUUCAGAGGGGGACAACAGUUGGAAACGACUGCUAAUACCGCAUAAUGUAUCCGGUAGGCAUCUAUUGGAUACCAAAGGAGCAAUCCGCUGAGAGAUGGGCUCACGUCUGAUUAGCUANAUGGCGGGGUAACGGCCCACCAUGGCGACGAUCAGUAGCCGGUCUGAGAGGAUGAACGGCCACAUUGGGACUGANAUACGGCCCAGACUCCUAC